rnacentral:rRNA from 1 species
AGUGAACGCUGGCGGUAGGCCUAACACAUGCAAGUCGAACGGCAGCACAGUAAGAGCUUGCUCUUACGGGUGGCGAGUGGCGGACGGGUGGGGAAUACAUCGGAAUCUACUUUUUCGUGGGGGAUAACGUAGGGAAACUUACGCUAAUACCGCAUACGACCUACGGGUGAAAGCAGGGGAUCUUCGGCCCUUGCGCGAUUGAAUGAGCCGAUGUCGGAUUGGCUAGUUGGCGGGGUAAAGGCCCACCAAGGCGACGAUCCGUAGCUGGUCUGAGAGGAUGAUCAGCCACACUGGAACUGAGACACGGUCCAGACUCCUACGGGAGGCAGCAGUGGGGAAUAUUGGACAAUGGGCGCAAGCCUGCUCCAGCCAUACCGCGUGGGUGAAGAAGGCCUUCGGGUUGUAAAGCCCUUUUGUUGGGAAAGAAAAGCAGCAGGUUAAUACCCCGCUGUUCUGACGGUACCCAAAGAAUAAGCACCGGCUAACUUCGUG